ensembl:misc_RNA Metazoa_SRP Metazoan signal recognition particle RNA
GCUGGGCGUGGUGGUGGGCACCUGUAAUCCCAGCUACUUGGGAGGCUGAGGCAGGAGAAUCGCUUGAACCCAGGAGGCGGGGGUUGCAGUGAGCUGAGAUCACACCACUGUGCUCCAGCCUGGGUGACAGAGCGACACUCUGUCUCAA